UGUUUAAGGUACAAAUGAACUAUUCCUAUUAUUUACAUCACCAACUAGAUAUCCACACCUACUCUUGUGUGGUUCGAGAAAGAUGCCAAAAAUCUGGUGAUUGAAUUCAACAACCAGGUUGAGUGGAUCAAGUUCAACGCACACGAAGUUGAUAUUAUCGUGUUAACUAUGAAGAAAAGGAGUGGAAUACCCUUUACAAUAUUCUUCGACGCCAAUAUGAGACAUUGUCGGCGUUUGAUAGAGCGCAUCUUCUGGAAGACGCGUUCAGUUUAGCCUACGCUGGGCAACUCGAUUAUGUUCUGGUUAUGAAUAUGACGAAGUACCUGAAAGGAGAAAAACACCCUAUUUCAUGGUGCGUGGCUUCAUCGAAGUUAAUGUACAUCUAUACUCUCUUGAAGGAUGGGAGCAUUUUCCCGAAGGCAUUUAUGAGAUAUGCUGGAGACUUGGUAAACAGCACGUACCGUGAAAUAGGAUGAGAAUUGCAGGAAGUAACAGACGCUAAAAGCAAAGGUUAUACAGAUAUGUAGAAGACUUCAAAAGACAAUCUUGGAAUUCGCCCUCGCUGUGGAACACAUAGAUUGUAGUUCAGCAGCCAAACGAAUAUUUAUAAAAUAUUUCUGUGGUACGGAAGAAGAAGAUCGAAGAGAACACGCUCCAGCAAACCCUAAUAUCCGUGAUCUUUUCUGUUAUUACGGGAUGCAUUACAUUGGCGAUAUAUCAGUAUGGGAAGUAGUAUUCAAACAAUUUAUAGCCGAGAACGAUAGGAUGGAGAAACUGAUGUUGAUGCGUACGCGAUCAAGGACACUUCGAUUUUGGAACAAUUCAUCGUAACGGCCACAGACGAGAAAUACGCCCGCACUCAAGACUUCCUCAGUUGUAUAAUCGCCAUAUCGGAAAAUCCCGUAGGAACACCAUUAGUCUGGGAAUGGGUGCGGUCCAAUUGGGAGUUCCUAGUGGACAGAUAUACCCUGAACGACCCGCAUCUCGGUUCGUUGAUCCCAUCAAUCACGAAGACGUUCACCAUAGAGACAAGAUUAGACGAAAUGGACUGCUUCUUCGCCAAGUAUCCCGAUGCUGGCGCUAGCGCCAUGAAUCGCGCCAAAGCAUUAGAGACAGUAUCCAAUAACAUAAAAUGGCGAGUCAGGACGUGUAAGAAGCUGGGAAUGUGGUUACUUAAACACAGAAUAGAGAAGAGAAGAAGGUCGAUAUAAAGGUAUUUAUUAUUGUUGCAAACCAUAUCAAAAGCAUGUAAAAUUCUGUCUUAACCGACAGAAUUUGCAAAGGAAAGAAGAAGUUUUACAAGCAAGAAGGUACUAUUAUGAAAGUGAGAAGAAGAAUGAGAUUUACGUUUGUUUUUUGUUUUUAUUUUGUUAAUUUAAUUCGAGAAAGACUAAAGAAAAGGAGAAAUAUGUUGUGUGGUCAUUUUCUAGAGGAAUUAUCGAAGACUGUAAUUUCUUGCAAUAUGAAAAUUUAUUUUUAGUUAGUUAGUUUGGUUGACUUAGUAUUGUGUAAAAAAAGAGAAAUAAGUGCAAGAAUUUCAUUAGAAGAUAAUUGUUUCAAGAAAAGAAGAACAUCGGGGAAAUACUUUUACACGUAUAUUAUAAUACAACAAUAUUUAUACUUAUUGUAAGCAACCCGUAUCGUUUCUUUGAUAAACAAAAUGUGCUGAAGCAAACGAAGUUGCUCGUCGUUUCGACGAAUGAAAUCGAUGCUAUGUUUUGUUCCACGGAUCAAAGGGUAAUAAACAGGAUAAAUCGAGCCAUUAUAAUUGUUCUUCCCUCCCGGAUCGUACAAUUGGAUUCACUUUUAUUGGACGAUCAUGAUCAACGUUGUCAACAAAGACCAGCGGAACUUUAAUUCAUCCUGUCCGUUGCGUUUCCGUGUCUUCGUGACUUUAUAGAACGUGUUUUACCUUCGCCUGUCUUCGACAGUUAAUGGCUUGACAUAUAACCAUGUUCUAUAUCCGUCAAUGUCGUCAGUUUAGAGUAGUCCGCACUGAAAAGGGCAACUAUUAAAGUCACUGCAUAGAAUGAAAUGUUAGCUUCGUCGAGCUGUAGUCGAAGUUCCUACUAGAAUUGAAAAUAUUGCGGACGAAUAAAUGUAUUAGCGGGAAAUUAUAUGGUCGAUGAUUUUUUAUUUCAUCAUAUUUUUUUAUAUUUCUUAUUCAAAUCUUUUUGUCGUCGCCUGGAACAUAUAGAAAUACAUAUAUUUUGAUGAAAAAGAUACAAAACUAAUUAAUUGAUGUUAGAUUCACUUAGUUUCUAUGAAUAAUACAAGUUUCUUAACAAAUUUGCAAAGAAUCCUUUGUCUUAAUAAAAAUACUUUUAUUUUAUAUAUUAAAAUAGUAUUCUAUCUAUAACUCUAAAUAAUAACUAUUUCAUAUAACGCUGGAAUGCAAUUUUUAAUUGAAGUUCUACUUUUGUAGAAUAUUUUUACAAAAUUGAAGAACUUCAAAUAAAUGGCAACAAGUUGCAUAGUAAAUCGCAGAAAAAUUUCACAAUUGUAAUCUGACCAAUCAUUAGAAUUUGGUGGAGCAAUUAUACCACGAAAAUUGAUCGUUAAGUACAUAACUCAAACCUCCUUCAAUUUCUCAAAUGCUUGCAAUCGUUACUGUACACAACUAUCUAUUUGUUCUUCCGCUAUCAUCGAUUUCCCGCACAACCCAGGGGUCUCAUAAUCUGUCAAUUGAUCCGUCAUUGACAAAACGAGCUGCACAAAUUGAUUCGUUGCACAAAUGGAGGUCGAAAUUAAGCCUCCGCAAAUAUCGAAGCUCAAUUAUGAGAGUAAGCUUACAGAUCUCUUUUCGAAAAAAUAAACCGAGUAAGAAGUUGCUCGUACAACUAAAUUUAUGUUUCAGUAAAUUAACAAACCGAAGAACUUUUACAAUUUUAGAUAUUAUCAGAUUUUUAUUUAAUAUUAAAACAAGUUUGCAAUUUUCUAAUCAAAAUAAUUCUGAUAGUAGAGAACACUAU